GAAGAUUUUUUAGUCUUCUGUGUCUCACCUUUGUCAUGAUUCAGAACUGAGACAAAGAGAUUACUAAAACCCUGGAGAAAGCAGUAUCUACCGGAUAUCAUCUUUGUGCACCACUUGCCUCACACUUGUGCCACCAUCUGGCUAUGAUCCCCCAAGGAACAGAGGUUGACGGAGCCAUUGUCGUGAUUUUUGAAUGUGUUGUGAAAGCAGAGGACCAGAAGUGGACUGAUGUGUUGGAGAUGAGCUGUUGGCCAGAGCCCAUCAUUGAACCAGCUGGGAACAAGAAACAACCAAAACCACCUGGGAACUGCACUCAUAUGAAGCUAAUCAGUUCCUUUGAGAGCAGUUGGGCAUGAUCUAACACACAUGUUAGUGGAUGACCAGUGGACCAGAAUGUGGGCACAGUGGGGCAGCUAAUUCAUCUGGCAGCAAGCA